rnacentral:rRNA from 1 species
CCUACGGGUGGCAGCAGUAAGGAAUAUUGGUCAAUGGAGGAAACUCUGAACCAGCCAUCCCGCGUGAAGGAUGAAGGGGCUCUGCCUUGUAAACUUCUUUUGUCUGGGGCGAAAAAGCUCGAUUUAUCGAGAACUGACGGUACCAGAAGAAUAAGCACCGGCUAACUCCGUGCCAGCAGCCGCGGUAAUACGGAGGGUGCAGGAGUUAUCCGGAAUCACUGGGGUUUAAGCGUCUGUGGAAGUCUUAGUUGAAAGGCUGUGGCUUAACCAUGGAAUUGCCAUUGAUACUGCAGAGCUUGAAUGAGGUUGAGGUUGGCGGAAUGUGACAUGUAGCGGUGAAAUGCUUAGAGAUGUCAUGGAACACCGAUUGCGAAGGCAGCUGACUGGACCUAUAUUGACGCUGAGGCACGAAAGCGUGGGGAGCGAACAGGAUUAGAUACCCCAGUAGUC